CCGAAAGGGGCGGUAAUACCGGAUAAUAUCGACGGAUCGCAUGAUCUGUCGCUCAAAGGUGGCCUCUACAUGUAAGCUACCGGCUUUAGAGCGGCUCGUGUCCUAUCAGCUUGUUGGUGAGGUAAUGGCUCACCAAGGCAACGACGGGUAGCGGGACUGAGAGGUUGGCCCGCCACAUCGGGACUGAGACACUGCCCGGACCUCCACGGAGGGCUGCAGUAACGAAUAUUGGUCAAUGGGCGAAAGCCUGAACCAGCAAUGCCGCGUGUAGGAUGAAGUCCCUCGGGAUGUAAACUACUGUCAGAAUCCAGCAAGCAAAUGGGGUGAAUAAUCCCAGGCGUUGAGCGGAUUCAGAGGAAGCUCCGGCUAACUUCGUGCCAGCAGCCGCGGUAAUACGAAGGGAGCUAGCGUUGCUCGGAAUCACUGGGCUUAAAGGGUGUGUAGGCGGUUUGGUAAGCAUCCUGUGAAAUCCCACGGCUCAACCGUGGAAUUGCGGGGUGAACUAUCAGACUUGAGGCGCGCAGGGGCCAAUGGAACUCUGGGUGGAGCGGUGAUAUGCGUAGAUAUCCAGGGGAACGCCGGUGGCGAAGGCGAUUGGCUGGGCGCGUUCUGACGCUGAGACACGAAAGCGUGGGUAGCGAACGGGAUUAGAUACCCCGGUAGUCCACGCCCUAAACGAUGUGCACUAGGUUCGGGAACUUCUGACAGUAUCCGGGCCGUAGCAAAAGUGUUAAGUGCACCGCCUGGGGAGUACGGCCGCAAGGCUAAAACUCAAAGGAAUUGACGGGGGCUCACACAAGCGGUGGAGCAUGUGGCUUAAUUCGAAGCAACGCGAAGAACCUUACCUGGGUUUGACAUGUACGGAUGCCCUGGUGGAAACACCAGUAAGCUGCCUUCGGGUGAAACGUACACAGGUGCUGCAUGGCUGUCGUCAGCUCGUGUCGUGAGAUGUUGGGUUAAGUCCCGUAACGAGCGAAACCCUUGUCGCUAGUUGCCAGCGCGUAAUGGCGGGGACUCUAGCGAGACUGCCGGUGUUAAACCGGAGGAAGGUGGGGAUGACGUCAAGUCAUCAUGGCCUUUAUGUCCAGGGCUGCACACGUGCUACAAUGGCGUGGUACAAAGCGACGCAAGACCGCGAGGUGGAGCAAAUCGCAUAAAACACGCCUCAGUUCGGAUUGCAGGCUGCAACUCGCCUGCAUGAAGCUGGAAUCGCUAGUAAUCGCAGAUCAGCUAUGCUGCGGUGAAUGUGUUCCUGAGC
rnacentral:rRNA from 1 species